GGGCAGGAGGCAUUUACCUCCCAUUGUGGUCAGGGAAGGAAAACGGAAAGUCUUAGAGGGAUGGAGCACAGUGUGGGUUCAGGUCCCAACAUCACUCAGCGCAAUGCUCCUGUCCUGCCAUGAUGACUCCCGCUCUGCUGCCCAGGAGGUCCAGGUGGGAUGUGCAAAGAAUAUUUCUAUUGAUUUUCAUCUUCUCCUCCAACUGCCAUACCUCCUAACACAGGAAUGUGUUGGUACAGUAAUCUAGCAUGUAACUGAUACACUUAUAAUUUACAUCUAAAUUACAUAAGAUCAUUAUAUAAGAUAGAAUUUAUAGUUCACGUCUGUGAGUGCACACCUCGACUCUGCCUUUUACUGGAAAGAGAGCGUAAGGAGAAGAGUUCAGAGGGCUGCCAGAGGGAGCGAGUGAACGAGGGAGCGGGUUCACACGCAUGCUCUGCUCUCCAGGGCUUUCCGGUCUCCUCAGCCCUUCUCUCAAUGGCUCUGUUGUGACAGCACAGUCCCUCGGCCUCACAGCCUCUGUCACUGAAAAGUCCCGCAUCCUUUCAUGUCAGCAGCCUCGGCAGAUGGCUGAGGGCUCAACCUUCUCCAGCACCUGCAGGUUCAGAUACCUCCCAUGACCACUCUCCCUCUCUCCAGUACUGGAGUUUGAACUCAGGGCCUUGGGAUGCGAGAGAGCCCAGCAGAGUGGAUGGGGCAGCUGUGGGCAGCAGCUCGGACACAGACCUUCAGUCCUCCGGCAGGGAGAAAGAACCUGUGAGGUAGGCCCUCACUUCUUCAGGCACCUCAGCUCUGGGAACUGUAACCCACCGGCCCAGACAGCUGGAGUCCUGGUUCAACCCCUAUCCCAGGAGGAUGAGGUGGGGCUGGAAGCAGCAGCAGGAGGAGAAUGGGGGAAGCAGUCAUGGAGAAGUCCCUGGAACUCACCCUGUCAUUGGCUGCUCUCCUGAAAUUAUCAGUAAGAAAGGCCAGCUGGAUCUGUGGCAUGUCUGCCUGACGCUGGAUGCGAGCA